UCCGUAGGCGGGCUAAUAAGUCAGGGGUGAAAUCCCACAGCUUAACUGUGGAACUGCCUUUGAUACUGUUAGUCUUGAGUUAUAUGGAAGUAGAUAGAAUGUGUAGUGUAGCGGUGAAAUGCAUAGAUAUUACACAGAAUACCGAUUGCGAAGGCAGUCUACUACAUAUAUACUGACGCUAAUGGACGAAAGCGUGGGGAGCGAACAGGAUUAGAUACCCUGGUAGUCC
rnacentral:rRNA from 1 species